rnacentral:rRNA from 1 species
GAGACUACGGCAGUGCACUCCCA